rnacentral:misc_RNA from 1 species
GAUGAAGAACGCAGCGAAAUGCGAUAAGUAGUGUGAAUUGCAGAAUUCAGUGAAUCAUCGAAUCUUUGAACGCACAUUGCGACCUUUGGUAUUCCAAAGGGCAUGCCUGUUCGAGCGUCAUUUGUACCCUCAAGCUUUGCUUGGUGUUGAGCGUCUUGUCUCUAGCUUUGCUGGAGACUCGCCUUAAAGUAAUUGGCAGCCGGCCUACUGGUUUCGGAGCGCAGCACAAGUCGCACUCUCUAUCAGCAAAGGUCUAGCAUCCAUUAAGCCUUUUUUUUCAACUUUUGACCUCGGAUCAGGUAGGGAUACCCGCUGAACUUAAGCAUAUCAAUAAGCGGAGGA